GAGAUGUUAGUAAACCGAUUACAUAGCCUUGUCAAGACUAAAUCACAGGUGAAAGUCCUGUACAUCCCA
rnacentral:tRNA from 1 species